GAAUCUACUAUGAUAGGAAAUAGUAACAGGUUACUUAUUCUUUAAAGAGAGCCGAUGGUUGGUGUGAAUCGGUGAAUAAAGCCUGCGAAUCCAUCCUAGAGUAAAAACAAGGAACGCACAUGCUGCAAGUAAUUGUUUUCGGCUGAAAACCGUUAUGAUCUUUAAGGUGAAAAGCAGUUUUAUGCUUUUAACUAGGGUGGCAACGCGGGUAACUCUCGUCCCUUUU
rnacentral:ncRNA from 1 species